CCCUUAGAUGUUCUGGGCCGCACGCGUGCUACACUGAGUGGAUCAGCGGGUCAGGUUGCGCGAAAGUGUUUCCUAAUCUUUAAAUCCGCUCGUGAUGGGGAUUGACGGUUGCAAUUUUCCGUCAUGAACGAGGAAUACCUUGUAAGCGCGGGUCAUCAUCCCGCGCUGAAUACGUCCCUGCCCUUUGUACACACCGCCCGUCGCUCCUACCGAUUGGGUGAUCCGGUGAAUGAUUCGGACUGACGUUGUACUAGCUACUAGUUCAAUGUUAGGAAGUUUUGUGAACCUAAUCACUUGGAGGAAGGAGAAGUCGUAACA
rnacentral:rRNA from 1 species